rnacentral:miRNA from 1 species
GCAGACACAUUCCAGCCAAUCAGCAGCAGACCCUCCCUCCCAGAGUCUCCCACCUCCUGGACAGCAUUUUACAUUCAUUGUGAAGUUGCAUUCUUAGUGAGCUGUCCAGGAGGUGGGAGGGUCUGGGAGGGAGGGUCUGCUGCUGAUUGGUUGGAAUGUGUCUG